AUUUGGAAGCGCUAGCGAGCUAACAAAAACCGGUAUUUGGUCUGCAAAUGGAGUAUUUUAACGUCUCUCCAAUAUUCUCUAGCGUGUACCCUUGUGAUCACAAACUGAAUAUGGAAUUAGCCGAAAAUCCCCCAAAAUACACUGGCUAAGCUCGUGGUGAACCGGGUGGACCUAACAUACGAAAAUCCCAUUAUUGAAUUACCCACCGUACUACCCCUGUUCCGCUGGGCAUGAACCUUCCUUCUCCCGGUGGCAAAUAUGCGCCGAACCUAAAAGACCGCCACACAGCAGGCAGCAGCAACAUCAUGGAAAAGGAAAAUCUUUCUCCCGUCGAACCUUCUGUAUCCUUUUAACUGGUGGUGAUUCUCCCUUCCCGCUUCUCCCUCAGCCAGUGCAAAUUGUUGCGGUUGUUUGCAGAAAAGAAAAGCGCCGCGGCGUUGGGGGCGAGAAACAACCGAAAAAAAAGGAAUCCACACAGACACAAAUGGAGACUCCAGUGAAUAAAAUGCAACAUUCAAAAACCAAUCUACAGAAUGUGCCCGGAGGAUGCCCGGGCUGCCACGUGGUAGUGCUUCGUGCGAACCUCUGUCGUCCCCUCAAUCCCGGCGGUGGCUUUCCCCGGGAUUUGCCGUGCCUGGAAGUUGCUCUGUUUCUCGGCAUUGGUGUGCUGGCGAGCCGUUUUGGUACGGGAUCCUUGGAACACUCUUUACCCAGCGCGUUUUGCUAUUCAUUCGCAUUUUGGAUGGAUUUGAAUUGCAACGAAGAAACAAUAACCGAAUCUGAGGAUUUUGCAGCGACUUGUUGGGGGGAGAAUUGUGAGUAUGUUUUAAAAAAGGAGAGCUCUUUAAAAGGACAGAAGUAGAGGGAAAAAACACUAAAAUGCACUGAGUUAUUACAGCUCUUCCCCAAGUCUUCAGAACAAAAGAUGUUAUAAGUUUUAGAGGGGGAAGAAAUGGUCGGUAGACAUCAAAUUAAUUGAUCCGACGGUAGACACUGUCCCGGACAUAAUGGACAAGGCCAUUUCAAAAUCGAAAAGACGUGCUAGCUCAGCUUCAAAUGAUAAUCAGGCUGCUGGAACCGCAUUGACGCUUGUUAUCGGUUACUUCAUUUCCGUUCGGCGGAUGGCGGUCACGGUUCUCAUCAAUCUUGGGCUUUUAGAAUCGAGAGCAAGUAAAAAAAAGUGAAAGGUUCUGGACUCCUAGAUACUGGCGGUAUUAAUGUACAGAAAAGUGACACCGAUAAUUGAAUUCUUCAAAUUUCCGGACCGACGCGCUUCAAUUUCCC